rnacentral:rRNA from 1 species
CGGACGGGUGAGUAACGCGUGAGAAUCUGCCUUCUGGUCGGGGACAACCAUUGGAAACGAUGGCUAAUACCGGAUGAGCCUACGGGUAAAAGAUUUAUUGCCAGAAGAGGAGCUCGCGUCUGACUAGCUAGUUGGUGGGGUAAAAGCUCACCAAGGCAUCGAUCAGUAGCUGGUCUGAGAGGAUGACCAGCCACACUGGGACUGAGACACGGCCCAG